CCUACGGGUGGCAGCAGUGAGGAAUAUUGGUCAAUGGACGAGAGUCUGAACCAGCCAAGUAGCGUGAAGGAUGACUGCCCUAUGGGUUGUAAACUUCUUUUAUAUGGGAAUAAAAUGUUCCACGUGUGGGAUUUUGUAUGUACCAUAUGAAUAAUGAUCGGCUAACUCCGUGCCCGCAGCCGCGGUAAUACGGAGGAUCCGAGCGUUAUCCGGAGUUAUUGGGUUUAAAGGGAGCGUAGGUGGAUUGUUAAGUCAGUUGUGAAAGUUUGCGGCUCAACCAUAAAAUUGCAGUUGAAACUGGCAGGCUUGAGUACAGUAGAGGUGGGCGGAAUUCGUGGUGUAGCGGUGAAAUGCUUAGAUAUCACGAAGAACUCCGAUUGCGAAGGCAGCUCACUGGACUGAAACUGACACUGAGGCUCGAAAGUGCGGGUAUCAAACAGGAUUAGAUACCCGAGUAGUC
rnacentral:rRNA from 1 species